GACGAACGCUGGCGGCGUGCUUAACACAUGCAAGUCGAGCGGUAAGGCCCUUUCGGGGGUACGACGAGCGGCGAACGGGUGAGUAACACGUGGGUGACCUGCCCUCAGCUCUGGGAUAAGCCUGGGAAACGUGGGUCGUAAUACCGGAUAUGACUCCAUGACGCAUGUCGUGGGGUGGAAAGCCUUGUGCGGCUGGGGAGUGGGCCCGCGGCCUAUCAGCUUGUUGGUGGGGUGAUGGCCUACCAAGGCGACGACGGGUAGCCGG
rnacentral:rRNA from 1 species